rnacentral:tRNA from 1 species
GAACCCUUGGCGCAGCGGUAGCGCGUCUGAUUCCAGAUCCAGAAGGUCGUCCGUUCAAUCCGGGCAGGGUUCA